GGAGAUUUACUGAUAUAAUUUAUUUUAUUCUUACGUAAAAAGGAAUUUCAAAUAAAUUAUGCUUAGCUAUUGAAAAUAGGGACUAUAAUAUUAUAUUGAUUUAAACAUGAAUAUCUAACCAAUCUUUAGCACCAUUUUAGAUUUACUGAUUGCAUAUAGCACUAAAGAUGCUAAAGCGGAUCAACCUAUCAACUACAAACUUGCCUUGAACCGUAUGAAGUAACCAAAGCUGAUUUCCAACACUAAACCUGACAUAACCGCUUGUCUUGGGGCUUGGUAUACAUGGGAUCGGAUUCUUCAGACAGGUCUGGAAGGUAACGCCUGGUUUAGAUUAUUUAUCACAUUUUCUCUCUCUAGAUUUCGACCCUAGAUUAGUUAGUGAUUAUAUUGAAAAAAAAAAUAAUAAUAAAAAAAUAAAUAAGAUCUAUUGGUUAAUUAUGAUGAGUCUGAACAGGACUUGGUGGCUAAAACCAUUAAGGCUUGAUUCAUAAAGACUCAAAUAAAAGAGUUCGAAACGGGACUUGGAGGCGGCAAUCUUCAAGGCUCGCUUUCGCAAAGAACUCUUGGAUAUAGGUCAAAAAGAAGUGAACAUAACUUGGUGGCAACCACCAUUACGUUUUGAUUCAAGGAAGCCUGUCCAAUCUUGGUCACUGAUCCUGCAAUGGAAGCAGACUUUGACUCGAGAGAGAAAUUUAGAGAGAGAGAGAGAAACUAGGAACUAACUUUUACCUGCAGCUCCAGAUACUUGUCUGAAAUCCUUG
rnacentral:lncRNA from 1 species